rnacentral:rRNA from 1 species
UACGUAGGGACCAGGCGUUGUUCGGAUUUACUGGGCGUAAAGGGCGCGUAGGCGGCAAUUCAAGUCAUCUGUGAAAUCUCCGGGCUUAACUCGGAACGGUCAGAUGAUACUGCUUUGCUAGAGUGCGGAAGGGGCAAUCGGAAUUCUUGGUGUAGCGGUGAAAUGCGUAGAUAUCAAGAGGAACACCUGAGGUGAAGACGGGUUGCUGGGCCGACACUGACGCUGAGUGCGCGAAAGCCAGGGGAGCAAACGGG